AAAGUGGCAGAAGCUUUUUCUCAUCUAUUUCCAGGUUGCUGCCAGGGUAUGACCUCUCACCGCCUGGCAGAAAUCCCUAACGAGGGCUGAAUUGGCUAUGUCUCAUUCUGAUGAAUAAUGGGUCUCGUCACCCCUCAGUGCCCUCCAGAUUUACUCACAGGUCCCCGGGGACGUCGCCAGCAAAUAAAUCCCCUGACCUGCUGCAGGAUCCUUUCCCCCCGCCGAGGCCCUUCCCGGGGCUCCCCGCCAAUUUCUUAGCUGGGCUGCCUCAGCCUCAACCAAUCUGGAUGCCAAACCCAAAAUACCCUCAGUCCGCCAGAUGCGUAUCUCCACCAGCCAGAUUUCUAGAUGCCGUGGUCUAUCGUUGGCAGAGCUGCUAUCCUUUAUCAAAUGCCUCUGGAAAGACUCAAUCAAAAUACUGAGGAGAAGGAUGGAAAAUGGAAGGAAUGAGACUGACGCAGGAUGCUGCACUGCAAACAAGACUGAGGGUUACGUGGUUUCCAGUCUCAACACACAUCUGAGGACGCUGCGCGUGGAAGUCACCCAGGGACUCGUGAAGUUUGAUGAAGUUUAAGUGCUCUUUGCCCAGAAAAAUGCAAAUAUACAACCAUAAAUACGAUUUUGUGUGUAAUUAUAGGAGUCCCAAGUCCUGCUAAAACCCACACAUGGGACUUCAGGUUAAGGGCUCUUGAUAUGGUUAUUUCCUAACCUCAGGAAUCAAGAAGGAAAUGGUUCUGAGAAUCCAUGACUUUGAGUCUCUUGGCUUCUGGGAACCAUUGUAGCUUUCAAAUUAGAGCAGGCAUCCUGCUCAAAGGUGAUACAUCAGAACUGUGGUUUUUGACGAGAAUUGAAAUGACACUGAAGGGGAGACAGUCAGCAAAUAAUAGACAAUUGUGAUUGAUCAGAGCCUGGAGGAGGGUGAGAUGGGUAAGGGAGAAUAAUUGGACCACAGACAUGGGGUAGGAAUAAGAAAAGAGAUUAUAUCUUCCUCAAAGGGUGGAUGGCUGAUGCCUGAAUUCACGAGUGAGUUCCAUGUUGGUGUCUCAGUUGAGGAGCUCAUUACCCUAUAAAGUAGAGGCCCAUCCAGGCCUGGGUUGUUUUGCUUAGGUAUCCUGGAGCCCUGAGGGUGACUAAGCUGUAUGUCUGAGGUUACAGAAUGGAAGAAACAAAUAAAAACAGCAGAGUAUUUAUAUAUAUUCCUUUC
rnacentral:lncRNA from 1 species